rnacentral:rRNA from 1 species
UGGGGAAUUUUGGACAAUGGGGGAAACCCUGAUCCAGCCAUCCCGCGUGUGCGAUGAAGGCCUUCGGGUUGUAAAGCACUUUUGGCAGGAAAGAAACGUCAUGGGUUAAUACCCCGUGAAACUGACGGUACCUGCAGAAUAAGCACCGGCUAACUACGUGCCAGCAGCCGCGGUAAUACGUAGGGUGCAAGCGUUAAUCGGAAUUACUGGGCGUAAAGCGUGCGCAGGCGGUUCGGAAAGAAAGAUGUGAAAUCCCAGAGCUCAACUUUGGAACUGCAUUUUUAACUACCGGGCUAGGGUGUGUCAGAGGGAGGUCGAAUUCCGCGUGUAGCAGUGAAAUGCGUAGAUAUGCGGAGGAACACCGAUGGCGAAGGCAGCCUCCUGGGAUAACACUGACGCUCAUGCACGAAAGCGUGGGGAGCAAACAGG